CCGUAAGCGUUGUCAAUGGAAAUCCGUGGCGUCUUUUUACAUGUUGUCAAUUGAAAUACGUGACGUCAUACUUACGCGUUGUCAAUGGAGAUAUCCGGGCUCCAGACUUUGCUUCUGUUCGCAGUGAUCUCUCGCACGUUCAACGGGAACCAUGACAAGCGCAUGUCAUCCCAGGUCUGUUAAAAGAUGCGUCAAUAAUGAAAUCAACAGUCACUUAGUUAAAAUAUAAUCAAAGCGCCGACGGCAUUGAAAGUCUAUUGUUCCAGGUCAAUGGUGGUCUCGAGGUAUUGCUCCAGGAGGUUCAGGCUGGACACGUGCAUCACGUGCAUGUUGACGUUGAGCAGCAGUGGCAGGGUGAGGUUACGCCUCGGGGGUACGUUCGCCUCAUACUUGUGGAAGAUCGUGUUGAAGAUCUGUAUCGCCUCCUCCAUGUAACCUUGGGAGCCUUGAGAAGAGACGCUGAAAUAAAUAAACGUUCAGCCAAUCAAAAUAAAAUCUACAUCCGGGUGUUUAUUUGAUCGCAAAAAACAAAUUUCCUGUCGAUAUGUGUUUAUGAUUUUGCACAUGCUAUUAACUGUUUGUCUACACAUAAACAUCUAAAACAGGCACCCGUCUUAGUAAGAAAGGUUUAACAAAUCUAAGUUACUAAGCAAUGUGUCGUUAAGUUUCUAUACUCAUUUUCGUUCGAUCUGCCUUAAAGUCCUCAUUUUAACAAUAUAUAGCUAUUUAAUA